rnacentral:lncRNA from 1 species
GUUAUUAGACAAUUGAGAAGAAAGAAAAUGGGAAUCGUUGUACAGUGUAACUAACUACCGUAUUUAAAUUAUCACUAACUAAUAGCUAAGUGUAUUUACAAGUAAUUACAUUCAACUAAUAAAUAAGUGGGCCCUACUACACUCGAUACUUCCCUCAAGCUGAAGGAUAAAAUGCAUUUUUGAUUCCCAGCUUGUCUAGUAGAUACUUGUGUUGUAGCUUGCAUAGAUUCUUAGUAACCAAUGCAACCACAACCCUCCCAGUAACCAUUUUUGCUACAGGAGAGAAAGUUUUUCUGUAGUGUAACCCUUCUUGUUGACUGUAAUUUAUGGCCACCAAUCUGGCCUUAUACCUCUCCACUUCACUACAUCGCUUGAAUUUGACUUUAAACACCCACUUACAACCUAUAGGAACCUUGCCAGGAGGGAGAGGAACAAUAGACCAAGUGUUGCUUUCUUCAAGAGCUGUGAUUUCGGUUUUCAUAGCUUCAACCCACAUGGGAUCCCUAUUGGGUUCUAAUAAGGAUUUGGGUUCUACAAUAGCUGAAAAUGCAGCAAGAGAAGAUCUAAGAAGAGGACAACUUAUCAUAGGCCACAUAAUUUGAUAUAGGGUAUGUUGACGUAGCUGAUGGAACCACAUAAUCAGCUAGCUUCGACUGCAUUUGUAGAGUGCUGGCUAAGUGAGGUUGUAGGGAAUUGGCUGGGUGAAGCUGCACGAUACUCAGCAUCAUUAAGGUCAACAGCUGGCUGAGUAAGUUAUUCUACAAACUCUAAGAUAGAAAAUAAGGAAGAAGCACCAGAAGCCAUAUGCUUAAAAGGAAACACUUCUUCUUUGAAUAUUGUGUCCCUGCUAAUAAAGAACCUCUUUGAACACAGAUCAUAGAGAAUAUAUCCCUUAUGAGUUGAGGAGUGCCUUAUCUGUACAACUGGAAUUGCUCUGGGACAGUAUUUAUCUAAUUCUUCCAUGUUAGUCGCAUAACACAGACUGCAAAUACUUUCAGAUGUUGUAACGAAUGAGCCUUUUGAAAUAGCUUCUCAAAGAGAUAUUUUCCUUCAUCGAUUCUUCAUGAACCAAUGAAGGGUCAAGAAAAAUCAUUUCAAAAGUCCUUAACGAGAAGAAAACAAAGCCUACAUAUGCCGAAGGCAAAGCAUAAGAGCCAUUGUUGCCAGUCUAAUAAGCCUCACGACACACACACUAAGCGGUCGCAUCGACCAAAAGCGUAAGAGCCACUAUUGCCAGCUAAAAUUUGUAAGCUUGAGGUAAAAAUGAGCUCAAGUCGUAAUCCAAUUCGGAGAUUAGAUGCAAAAUAGCUAACUAUCCAUGCAUAAGGGCAAAGGGUAGGAGCCAUUGUCGCCAACUUAAUAAGCCUCAGGGUCGUGCAUAUAAAAGGUAGCUUCGAUCCAAGGUGUACGAAUCAUUGUCGCCCGCCCAUGCAAACACAAAAGCUUAUGGGUCGAAUGAGCUCGAGCCGAAACCCGACUUGGAGACUAAACCCAAAACAGUUGAGCCAAAGCAUAAGAGCAUAGGAACCUAGGAGCCAAAGCAUAAACCGGUCAAUCUUCCAAACUUUUAACUUUCCACCUUUCACCAAUUCAAUCCAAAGCAACCUAGGAACCUCCAACUUUAAAUCCGGGCAUAAGACUAAGUCCAAACUCACUAUUCAGCCUCGAACAUCAAAUCAAACACUACAAGAAAUUUGAUUUUAAUGACCAUUUGUUUACGAAGGGAUGUAAUUUCGGUCGUUACAAUUAUCGAAGGGAAUAUCGGUGGCUAAAAGUAAUUGAAUUGACUUAAUACAUUGUUGUCAUUAAAGACUUUUAAUGAUUGGAUAAUAAAUUAGCGAGGGGAAAAUCCUGUCGCUAAAAAGUAUGUUUAACGACCAAAUAUUAUGUGGUCGCUAAAGAUGCUUUAACGACCGGAUUGUAAACCGGUCGUUAACUUUUUACGUCGGACAACCGGUGGCGACCGGAUUUUUUCCGGUCAUUAUCGACUUAUAACGACUAGAAUUAGACUUUUAACGACCAUAUUUCUCCUCGCUAAUAGUGAAAUUUGGUCAACUCUUCUAACUUAAAGCUUCUUAAAUGAGAAUCAUCAUAAAUUUCGAACUGUUCGAAAAUUAAAACCAACCAUACACACAAGUCAUAACACAUUAGAUGAAGCUUGCGGCCUCGAACCACCGAACAAAAAUGCGAAUGAUCACAAUGACCGGUCGGUCGUUACUAUAUCAAGUUGUAUAUAUAUCUCUAUUUAAAUUGUGAGGCAAUAGGUUCUGAACAAGUUUAUAUAAGUAGCUAAAGUCCCUCUCCUUACAGAAAGUUUGGUUGCAUGCCUACCAAGCUUUUUUGGGGUUCAUUUCAUUAUCAUUAUCGCCAAAUAUCUAAUAUUUAAGAGGAACGUACAAUAAUAAGGUUGGUUCACGCACGUAUUUCAUUUCAGAUGAAUAAUGUCUUGUGAUUGAAAGCAAAUGCACUCUGCGACUGGAAAAGAUAUUCG